CCCUUAGAUGUCCUGGGCUGCACGCGCGCUACACUGACACAUGCAACGAGUUUUUCCUUGCCUGAAAGGGUUGGGUAAUCUCCUUGAAAGUGUGUCGUGAUGGGGAUAGAUUAUUGCAAUUAUUAAUCUUCAACGAGGAAUUCCUAGUAAGUGCAAGUCAUCAGCUUGCGCUGAUUACGUCCCUGCCCUUUGUACACACCGCCCGUCGCUCCUACCGAUGGGUGAUCCGGUGAAUGAUUCGGACUUCAGCGGCUCCCCUGGGGUGCGCCGGAGAAAGUUUUGUGAACCUUAUCACUUGGAGGAAGGAGAAGUCGUAACA
rnacentral:rRNA from 1 species